GACGUAGGGCGCGAGCGUUGUCCGGAUUUGAUUAGGGCGUAAAGAGCUCGUAGGCGGCUUGUUGCGUCGACUGUGAAAACCCGCGGCUUAACCGCGGGCUGCAGUUGAUACGGGCAGGCUAGAGUUCGGUAGGGGAGGACUGGAAUUCCCUGGUGUAGCGGUGGAAUGCGCAGAUAUCAGGAGGAACACCAAUAGCGAAGGCAGCUCGCUGGGACGGUACUGACGCUGAGGCGCGAAAGCGUGGGGAGCGAACAGG
rnacentral:rRNA from 1 species